UACGAGUGCCCCGAGCGUUAUCCGGAAUCAUUGGGCGUAAAGCGCGUGUAGGCGGUCCGGUAAGUCCGCUGUGAAAGUCGAGGGCUCAACCCUCGAAUGCCGGUGGAUACUGUCGGGCUAGAGUGCGGAAGAGGCGAGUGGAAUUCCUGGUGUAGCGGUGAAAUGCGCAGAUAUCAGGAGGAACACCUAUUGCGAAGGCAGCUCGCUGGGACGUUACUGACGCUGAGACGCGAAAGCGUGGGGAGCAAACAGG
rnacentral:rRNA from 1 species